AUUGGGCCGGCUAGAGGUCGUUUCCUGCUUACGUCAGUUUCCUCUCGCGAGUCGUUCGCAGGGAACGUGGGUGUCAAAAUACAUACGCGACAAGAUGUUUCGUUCUUAGAAAAGCGGAUAAAAUAUGCGUAAUAUCAUCUCAAAGAAAACCGCAGUGCAGAGCCUACAUGUUAAGUAUGUAUUGAGAAAGUGCCAUAAAUAACUGCCGACUCCUAAUUAUAUCUAGAUACACCUAGUUUCCACUAUAAAUACAACUGGUUACCACCGUUGUCAGUGCCACCUUACUGGAAAUUUGUGACAAAGAAAUGCUGCAAGUCCAGUUUUCAGGGAAGGAGAUGAAUAUGUCAGGGAAUGAAAGAAGAAUAAAAACAUUAAAAACUCAUAACACGGACUAAGCACUGCAUACUAGUUGGAUUUAUAUUUUCCUGAGAGAGAUAUUCUUCAAGAACGUAGGCCUUUGUUUUAGCGAAGAUGAGCCAAUAUUAAAUGUCUGUGACUUGCAACAAUAUGUGAACAUGUGUGAUGAGACUCAGGUGCCAUCCAGUGCCCCAUAAAGCCCGACCUUACCAAUGCAUGUCUGUGAAAGUGCAUGAUAGCACAGACAAAGGUGCAUACCACAAUUCACAGGGAGAGGUACGCCUUCUGUGGUUGAACAACAAGGACCGGACUCUUAACAUUUGCAAAAAUACCUGUUGUGGGGGACAUGGACGAUUCCUCACCCAUAGUAACUGCCCCAGAGUCAAGUAAAGGGUCCAGGUCUGGUGCGACAUUGGGGAGAGCUGAUGCUCUGAAGACGAGCUGAAUGAAACCUAUCUCUCAGACUUGACCUUGUAGCGGAGGACGAGGUAAGUAGCCAGCCGGAGGAUGAUGAAAAAAAC